ACGGGCCCGCACAAGCAGCGGAGCGUGUGGUUUAAUUCGAUGCUACACGAAGAACCUUACUAGGGUUUGACAUACAAGUAGUAGGGAAGGAAACUGGACCGACCCUUCGGGAGCUUGUACAGGUGCUGCAUGGCUGUCGUCAGCUCGUGUCGUGAGAUGUUCGGUUAAGUCCGCUAACGAGCGCAACCCUCGCUGUGUGUUACAAGUGUCACACGGAACUGCCGGUCAUAAACUGGAGGAAGGUGGGGAUGACGUCAAGUCAUCAUGCCCCUUAUGACCUGGGCUACACACGUGCUACAAUGGGCGGUACAAAGGGCUGCGAACCCGCGAGGGGGAGCGAAUCCCAAAAAGCCGCUACUCAGUUCGGAUUGCAGGCUGCAACUCGCCUGCAUGAAGCCGGAAUCGCUAGUAAUCGCGGAUCAGCAUGCCGCGGUCGAAUACGUUCCCGGGCCUU
rnacentral:rRNA from 1 species